AGAAUCGAUCACAAUAUGAUCGCAUUAGGUUAUGACCCGCGCUCAUACGCAAGCGGCCUGUUCUUAUAUAAGCCGCGCGCGCCGCGCCCACUUCAGAACCGCAUUGACACUCGUCGAACGCGCUACUGUGACUGUGAAGUGCUUUGGAAGUGCAGUGACCAUGUUUACCAAUCCAUUCGAGAGGAAGCAUUCAGCGCUGAGGCAGGUCCUGGACCGCUUCAUCGGGAAGGAGGCCAGGCUGAGCUUCCGCAAGAAGAAGGAUCUAGCUAAGAUCGGAGGGAAUGUAUCUGGCAGCACGUCCUCGGUGGCAUCGUCCUCCAGCUCGGAGUUCAUGCCCCGUUUUACCAGGCAGAGAUGAAGGAGUCCGUGACAAUUGAUACCUACCAGUGAAUAAUUUUGGAGAUGCUGUUAUGAUGAACAGAAAGAUGGAACCUGUUGGUUGACGUCAAAGCAAGGAACCGGCUGCCGGCGAGUAACGGUCACCACCACAUGUGGGUUUAUUGCAAUAAAAAUGAUUAACUGAC